AUUGCCUAAGGAAAUGGAUAUUAUAUGGCAGAAAAUCUGGGGGAAAAAGUCCUCCUUUCUGGCUGCAGUUUCUAAAAGCGUAUGCCCUCAAAGGAAGAGAUAGAACUUUUGGCAUAACCCGCCACAAUAGGCAAAGGCUUCUUGGGCAGAUAAUGCUGCUAGCAAUGUUGGAAAAUGACUGAGAUUAUGUUUCUGCCACCUCUGCUGUGAAUGAGGAAUUGAAAAAAAAAAUUCAGUUAAAUUAUAGAAAAAUAAAAAACGGUGUAUACUUCUUGCCUGAUUGAGUUGAAUGGAAUCUGAAAACUGGAGAAGGGAGAGUGAUGGAGACUAAAGCCCAACAAGGAAGAGACUCUCAAGAAAGCAAUAUCUCAGUCCUUUUGCAAAAAACCUGAUCUUCCAAAGAGGAUUCCUGGAUGUAACUUUCCUAGAAAGAUAAAGUAUUCCUCAAGGAUCCAGGAAGGAACUCAAAAGGAAAGAAAAUCAUUCUGGCAAAUUAAAUAAAUAUGGCGAUGCUGAUGGGCUGACUAGGAAAAUGGAUCACUCUCAAGUAGUGCUGGGAAGAUGAGCUGGUUAAUUGUCUAAAAGAACGAUGUUGGAGAGAGAAUGUCUACACGAUAUUGGUGUAGGAUAGAAGCUAAACAACCUAUAAACCAAAGCCCCCUGCUACCCUGACCCUCACUACCGAAUAUUCAUCCUUUUCAGAGUCUGGAUGUAUAAAACUGAGAUAAGCGAUGUUUUAAGAGAGCGAGCAUCAGUAAUAGAAACAUACCUCUGUGCUUCCCUGUGAAGAAUUAUCCAGGCCUGGCUGUGAAACCAGUGUAUCAGGCUGCCAGGGAGCAGAUAGAGUCGGGAUUGGGGCCUCUGAAGAGCUGAGAGAGGGUCAUGAACUCUGUUAAAAUAAGCAGGCAUUUCCCCACCUUUGGGCAGCUCACAAGCCUAUCUUACCCUGUGAAGCACAAGAGAGUGGGUCAGGGAUAUAAUUGAGC
rnacentral:lncRNA from 1 species